AUUGGAAUGAGAAGUGAGUUGAAAAGACGGCGGUUUGGUUCAGGAGGAGCUGGUUUUGAAUUUGACUUGCCUUGUUAACAAUGCCUCGCUAAACCCCACUGCAUACUGACACAGAGGCCAAACGAAACACCAGUGCUUUCUGCCUGACAGCCGAGCUGAUUUGAACCGGAAAAGGAAUGAUCAAGGUCAGCUUUGGAUUCUCCUCCGACACGGAUCAUCUUUUAUCAUCGGUCUCUUGGCCCUGGAUCCCGGUGCUCAUAGUAAGUACAAGAAAUACAAUAGAAUCAAAGAAAGACCAUUCCCAACAGGACGAACAAACCACCAAUGUGCAAAAGGCAACAAACUACAAAUACAGAAAGAAAGAAAAAAAGAAAUAAAAGAUAGAAACAAACAAACAAGCAAUCGAUAUCAAGAACAUGAGAUGAAGAAUCCUUGAAAAUGAGUCCAUAGGCUGUGGAAUCAGUUCAGUGAUGGACCUGAUUUAAGGACUCAAACCAAAAUGUGUAAUCCCUCCUUUUGCCUCCAAGGAAGUUGCUGCACCCACUGAGAUCGUCCAGCAUUUUGAUUUUUGUUUUUGGGGGUGGGGUGGGGGAGGAAAAUAAUGGGCACAUGAGAAUAGGAGCUAAAACAACAGGGGAUGGAAUGAGACUGAUGGGACUGACCUGAGAGCCAGCAUAAACAAGGUGGGCAAACAACCUCCUUCAAUGACAUGGGGAAUAUGAAAUUGCAACAAACUAAAAAUUUAUUUUGGGGCCCAUGGCUUCCUGAAAGAUGGUAAAGCCAGGGCAUGGCAUGCUUGCUAGCAUUGACUAUCAGAGGUGGGAAGUCACGUUGUAGUUAUAUAAAACAAGAAAGUUUCGGAGAGGCUGCAGAAAAGGCUCACCAGAAUGCUGCCUGCUUUAGGGCGAUGAGCUAUAAGAAAAUGGUGGAUAAACUUUGGCUGAUCUCUCUGGAGGAUAAUAAAAGUUUAUAAAAUUAUAUGAGGCAUAGAUUUGAAAGGCAGUCAGAAUCCUUCCUCAGGGUAGAAAUAUCAAGUACGAGGGCUAAUUUUUAAGGUUAGAGGGUGUAACUUUAAAGUUGACUUCUGGGGCAAGUUUUUUGUUAUCAUGGUAGGUGUCAGAGGCAGCAGUUGAAUUAGAUAUGAUGGUGGAGUUUAAGAGGCUUUUAGACAGUCACAUGAACAUGCAGGAUGGGGUGAUAAAGAUCAUGUGCAAGUAGCUUUAGUUUCACUUAUUACCAUGGUCAUCACAGACAUCGUGGGCCGAAUGACCUGUUUCAGUACUCUACUCUUCUAUGUCAAUUUUCUGUGAAUCUCCACACAAUUUAAUGAUAAAGCAUAUCACACAAUGCUGCAAUGCUGGCUUUGUUUUUACUAAGUGUUUAAAUGGCAUUUUUGAUAAAUUUACAAUUGAUAAUCUUUUAUUAAUAAAUCAGGAAAUUGGGUUAGUGUAAGUAGUCAAGUCAAUGAAACUGCCCGAUCCACUAGAUCUGAAUAACUAUGUUAAAUACCUGUCUACUAGGAAACUUCAGAAGGUCAUAUUAUGGAAUAGUAGACAGAUUUCAAGUAAAUUAUGUUCAAAGGCUUUUCAGAUGUGAAUCCCUAAAAAGGAUGCUUCCUUUAACGAGCCUCUUUGAAGUCCAGCAAUUAAAUAGAAUAAACUGAGUUUUGCCAUGGUGAUUAAUACAAGAUGAGGUGUAGCCAGCUUUGUGUGCUCAAAAGGUUCCAGUGCAAUUGCAUAAAAUCACAGAAAUGCAAUUAGUGCAGGACUUUUAUUGAAGAACGAAAGAAAUUUGCUUUUGGAUGAACUCAUGCAAUUUACACUGAAUCAUCAGAAAGGUAAUGUGGAAAUUUCAGGCCAGGUGAUCUAAUAAAAGGAGGUGACUAUUGUCUGGGACCGUUGGAAAUGACUGAAUAGUAACAUUGUACAAUCAAUGGCUAUGUUUAUUACUGUUUCUGUAAACCACCCCACCCAAUAUUAAUGUGCUGGAUUAUCAGAUACAAUCUGGAGCUGAAUUCCCAGAGGUGAAGAAGGAGUGCCUGCCCUUAAUGCCAAGGCAAUAUUUGACUGAGUGUGGAAUCAAAGAGCUCUGGUAUCAGACAGAAAGCACUCCACUGGUUGGUGCAUCUCAAGUACAAGGAUGAACUUUGGGGGAAAAUAACCUGUUGAUGCUGGAAAAACAAAAAGUGCAGAUGAAAGACAGAUAACAAUAAAAUCAGUGAAGAGGGUUAUCAAGGUUUCCAGAGAUUCUUGAUCAGAUGGUUAAGAGGACCAAGAAAUUAUAAUUUAAUUUUGAGAAGUACAAUCACCUGUCAUUCUCCUACAUUGUAGCCUCAUCAGUGUCUUGUACAACAGCAUCAAAACAUUACAACUUCUAUACUUAGUCCUGAUUGAUGAAGGACAGUGUACCAGACAUCUUCUUCCCCACGUUGUCUACUUGUGAUGGCACUGCCAAGGAACUAUGUACUUGUACACUUAUGUUUCUCUGUUCUACAACACACCCAAGCCAUGUCAUUCACCGUGGAGUCCUACCCUGGUUUGCCUUCUCAAAAUUCAAUACCUCAUACUUACCUGAUAAUCAUCUCCAAUGACAAUGAUACCACCUACUUCCUGCAAUAAUGCCAAGCAAUGGCAUUUACAAGAUGAAAAAGUCUGAUGAAAUUCCCUCUCUAUUAUUAUCACUAAGCCUUCACCGAAUCCUUAUGCAACACCUUUAACCUGAAACCUAGCUGAACAAACCACAUGCCUAUGUGUGGGGUCUGUUGGUUAUUUUUUUACUGAGAUACAGCGCAGAACAGGCUCUUCCAUUCCUCUGAUCCAAGCUCACUCAGUGAUCUCCCUAUUUAACCGGAGCCAAAUCACGGGACAAUUUACCAACCAGCAUGUUGUUGGACUGUGGGAGGAAACCCAAACAGCUGACAGGCAGCUGCAGGAACUGAACCCAAGUUGCCUGUACAGUAAAGCGUUGUGCUGACCACUGCACUCCCGGGCUGCCCUAAGAUUUGCUUUAAGAUUCUCACUAUCUGAUUUCCCCAGAGGUCUUCCGCUCAACAUCGUCAUCAGAAAUCCUUCACUGCUUCCCCGAGCAAGUGCAGCCAUGGAAAUCUCGCCACCAUCAGUGACAAGACAGACCACUCGACGGUCUCCAUACCCUCAUCCCUGAGGAUCAAGGCCUCAGAGAGAGAGAAGGUUUUACCAAGGUGGGCUUAAAGUAAAAGAGUUCAAGGCUGAGGAGUCUGUGCUGCUUGCUUCGGGUGUAGAGAAGCUAUGAAGCUGAGGCAGAGGGUGUGUUAAAUGAGGUUUCCGAUCUUGGCUGGCUCUGGAACAAUCAAGGAUAGCAGAAAAGUCAGAAAAGCUAAAGAGCUGGUCAUUGAAUUCAAAGGGGUGGUGCACAAGCUUCUGUUGAGAGCUUUAGAUUCAUAGCAGUGAGCAUUACCAAUAUCCACGUGGUCAAAGUGCAAUGGUGCCUCUGCUCCAACAGGAGGGCAAAAACAAAAAUCAGUAAUUAAAUUUCUUUAGCCUCCUGAGAGAUUAGAAACACUGUUUACCCCACUAGUUGUUAUAAAUGCACCACAAAAGCAUCCUAUUCAGAUGCAUCACAGUCUGGCAUGGCUCUGCCUGAGACUGCAAGAGAGCUGUGGAAUGUAGGAGACUGGGGGGGUUAUCUAAUUGAGGUAUAAGAUGAUGAGGGGCAUAGACCAGGUGAGGGCACAUAGGCUUUUUUCCUUCCAGGAGAUGCAGCUAAAAAUCCAAGGGCAGAGAGUUGAGAUCAAAGUCAAAAAAUUUAAAAGGGACAUCGGGGGUAGCUUCUUUGCUCAAAGGGGGUUUAUAUUUGGAAUAGUGGUUGAAGUAGCAAUGUUUAGAAGCCAUCUAGGUAAGUAUGUGGAUAGAAGAGGUCAGAGGGCUGUACGUCAAAUACAGACAAAUGCAGGGAAUAACUCACUGGGCCAUACAGUCAGAAUGGAUUAGUAGGGCCGAAUGGCCUGUUUCCAAGCAGUCUGAGUAUGAGUGUAUGCCACAGCAACAGCAUCUACAAGGUGGUCUGCAACAGUUCACCAAGGUUUCAUAGACACCAUCUGCCACGUUUGUGACCCUUACCGGCUAAAAGGUCAAGGGUGGCAAAAGCAUGCUGGUCAGCACCCUGGAAGCCACACACCAUCCCGACUCAGAAGCACUUCACAGUUCCUCCACCGUCACUGGAUUAAAAUCCUGCAGCAAUAUUGUGGGUACAUUAAGGAUGGCAGUGGUUCAAGAAGGUGCUUCUCCAGGGAUGGGCAAUUACUGCUGGCCCAGCCUGAAAAGGCCCUGAACAAAUAAAAAAUCAGCCCACCACUCUUCAUAUAUCAGUGUUGCCAUCCCAACAACAGUCUAGAGAAUAUAUAAACUGAAAAUCAUAUUGACGAGUUUGCCAAAAGUAAACAUCAAGCUGAUUUACACUCACUUAUGCUUUAUGACCUCCUGAAAAUGUGGCAGAAUAAAUC